GGGGCGACCCCGGGGUUCGCGCGGGAGGUAGAGUCGGGCCGGGCCGAGGGCGCCAGAAGCCCCUCGCUCGGUCUCGGUCGGGAACGCUGGUAGCGGCCGCAGGGUCGGCCUUUUCCACGCGCGAGUGGAAGGACCGCAGAAAUACAGCUCAGUUCCACGGUGUGGGCCAGCAACUUUCCCAGCACUUAGUUUGACUACGGAUGCGGUAUUUACACUGCUUUGACUAGAUCAGAGUCUAAGAGAGAUGGAGGUUUUAAAAAUAAUUGGAGCUUUGAUCAUGAAGAAGAAAAUGAAGGAGAUACAAAUAAAGAUGGAGCAAAUCUGCUCAGUGUAGAAGAUGAUAAGGAUUCUGAAACCUCAAAAGGAAAAAAGGCAAGUGUUGCUUACAAAAUUUUUUUAAAGUUACAUACUAAAAAUUUCCACCUUGAAACACGAUGUUUUUAAACUGUAAGCCCAACC
rnacentral:lncRNA from 1 species